UAGGGAAUCUUCGGCAAUGGACGAAGGUCUGACCGAGCAACGCCGCGUGAGUGAAGAAGGUUUUCGGAUCGUAAAACUCUGUUGUUAGAGAAGAACAAGGACGUUAGUAACUGAACGUCCCCUGACGGUAUCUAACCAGAAAGCCACGGCUAACUACGUGCCAGCAGCCGCGGUAAUACGUAGGUGGCAAGCGUUGUCCGGAUUUAUUGGGCGUAAAGCGAGCGCAGGCGGUUUCUUAAGUCUGAUGUGAAAGCCCCCGGCUCAACCGGGGAGGGUCAUUGGAAACUGGGAGACUUGAGUGCAGAAGAGGAGAGUGGAAUUCCAUGUGUAGCGGUGAAAUGCGUAGAUAUAUGGUGGAACACCAGUGGCGAAGGCGGCUCUCUGGUCUGUAACUGACGCUGAGGCUCGAAAGCGUGGGGAGCAAACAGG
rnacentral:rRNA from 1 species